AAAGAAACAAAAUAAAAAAGCAAUACCCACUACUUGGAUAUGAUAGUUGAUCAUGGUGCUUUUUUCUGCAUCAAAGAUCAACUUGUGUCGGAUUAUAUCUGAAAUAUGAUGAAUUAACUCAAAUUUCACGAGUCGAUCCAAAAGUAAAAUGGCCAUCACCACCAUCAAAAGUAAACAAAUUUCCACUAGACCAUAAUUACUAGGGAUGAUAUUACUUUCAAAAAUGAAGACUUCGUUCAGACCUAACCAUAACAUAGUACUGUAGUUCUGCAAUUAUAUGAAUUUAACAGCAACAUGGCUCUUGAACAUAGAUGAAGCGGGCUCUACUUAAGUUUUGACAAUAGGCAUUCGUCUUGAAAUUGCCAGAUCCUCUACUCAAAAUAGAUAUGUACCACAUAAACUAGACCCAUCUCUUCUUUGGAGUUGCAUCAGUAGAUGUAGUUUGGAUUCGCCUUCUAAUCUUCUUAAAUUCCCCACUAGUUGACAAUUGCUUUGGCCUCAAAGAAGAAAGUUUACUGGACUUCUGAUUCAUUGAUAUUUCUGUAAGAGGACUUACUGGUCUAGACUUUGUUUGCGGUUCAUUUAAUCUUGCCAAAGAACUCAACGUCUUUGAUGGUGCUGAUGUCUGCUUUGUUGCUGGAGCAAGGUCACUACUUUGAAGAGGGGUCUCCUGAUUUUUAAUAACUGAAGCUUGUGCCCUGUUCCCGGGAGAAGAGUCUGAAUCGGAAGAGGAAGGGCUAGUACUAUUGUCCAUAUCAUAAACUAUGUUAUCCAGCAUAAAUGGUAGUUCCCAACUGUCUGAUAUAGGCAGAGAGGAAGAUGUUCUCCGAAGCCUUGUAAGCUGGACCAACUUUUGUUCCAACACCAUCAAGUCCUUCCUAAGUUUCGAAAUCAUUGUGUUCUUCCUGCGAAUAAUAUCUUCCAACUCUGCAGUUCUCUUUGAGCCUGCCAUAUUAGUUGACUGAAGAGUUGAAAUCAGCUCCUUUAUGGUGGCAUCCUUCUCAUCACACUCUCUCUUGAGAUUGAAGAUAUCUUGGUCAAUUCCAGAUGUGUUCAUCUGGAUAUCUGCUGUUGAUGUAACACUUGAAGCCCAAUCUGACAAAUCUGACAUGCGCCGUUCCUCUUGUUCCACAUCAUUUAGUAAAGGCAUCUUAUACUGCAACACUUCAUCCCCUCUGGAAAUUUUAACAUCAGAGUUGCCCAUGAAGCCGGCAAAAAGGUUUUGGUGAUGAUCACAAUGCCAACAACCGCAGUCAACAAAUUUAAUGUUAUUGCAGCCAAAAGCAUCACUAGAUGGUGAUUUUACGUUCUUGUUUAAUGAUGCAUUGGCUUCAACUCCUGCAUGGUUCUUAAUGCUACUCACCUGCUCGCAUAGGUCGUCUAGCUUCUGUUGCAUUCUUGAUAGCACCUGAUCCCUAAGCUCCACGGAUUUUUUGAGCUGCAAAAUGAGCCUAUUCUUUUUAGACUCCGCAACAGCGACGCCGAUCACGGCUACAAUGAGGAACCUUUGCAUGGGACUAAACAGCUCCCAGGCAAGUAUUUGCUCUCGGCUCAAGCCACCCCCAAUUGCUUUAGCCGAGCUGGCUUCCUCCGCAUUAAGAAUCCUUCCCUGGAGAGAGACCCAAGCAAGCCGUCGAGCCGAGGGGACUGGGCGGCUAGGAGUGAAGUGACUGGAAAGGCGGCGAGAGGCCGGGGAGGGGAUGGGAGAGAAAGGGGAGAGAGAGACUAAAGAAGGAGGAGGAGGCAGCAGGUGAAACGAGCCGGAGCUAGAGCCGAGGUGGGGGUCUGCUUCAUCCAUGGCGAGAAGAGAGAAGGAGGAGGAGCGUGAUUGCAGGGAUUGCUAUAUUGAAUUUUUUGGAAGGUGCAUUAAAAUUGUUUCCAAGUUUUGAAUGAUAUUUUUGUGUAAAUUCAAACCUUUGGCAUGAGAGGGAAAACUAAAACCAUGGAAGGAGAACGUUGCUCGGAGUUGGAUAUUUGACACGUGUUUAUCCUUUUUCUCUUUUUGGCUCCAUUCUUUGUCUUCUACUGGUUAGUAUUUUUCAAGAUUUCCUUCCCAGAUUUGAAUUCGAAAUUAGGAAUUAUUGCUUGAAUGAAUACUUGAUUUGCUUAUGCA
rnacentral:misc_RNA from 1 species